rnacentral:rRNA from 1 species
GACGAACGCUGGCGGCGUGCCUAAUACAUGCAAGUAGAACGCACAGUUUAUACUUUAGCUUGCUACACCAUAUACUGUGAGUUGCUAACGGGUGAGUAACGCGUAGGUAACCUGCCUGGUAGCGUGGGAUCACUAUUGGAAACGAUAGCUAAUACCGCAUAAUAUUGAUUAUUGCAUGAUAAUUGAUUGAAAGAUGCUAUUGCAUCACUACCAGAUGGACCUGCGUUGUAUUAGCUAGUAGGUGAGGUAACGGCUCACCUAGGCGACGAUACAUAGCCGACCAGAGAGGGGGAUAGGCAAAACUGGGACGGAGACACGGCCAAGACUACUACGGGAGGGAGAAGGAGGGAAUCUUCGGGAAUGGAAGAAAGGCGGAACGAGCAACGCCGCGUGAGUGAAGAAGGUUUUCGGAUCGUAAAGCUCUGUUGUAAGAGAAGAACGGGUGUGAGAGUGGAAAGUGCACACUGUGACGGUAUCUUACCAGAAAGGGACGGCUAACUACGUG